rnacentral:lncRNA from 1 species
AUGCGUACAAGUCUCUUCGUUUCCCCCUCAAUCCCACCAUCGCGAGCUCCUCGGGAGACUGCGAGGGCGACCUCGCGGCUACUCCCCUGGACUGCUCCUGACAGUACCCUCACACGCCCUGUUCAUCUGCGCGACCGCCUUGUUUUGGAUGAAGCCAGUGACGCCAUCACUGCUGGCCCGCAUUCUUGACGGGGGCUGCCGAGACUGUUUCGAAACUUGACAGCAGCCACCUUGUUCACUCCUUGGCCCGGGUCCGUCAGCACCGCCUCUUUGUUGUCUUCCCGCCUGGUGACGCAAUCGCUGCGCGCCCGCUUUUAGUACCCUGUGAACUGAUCCCCUUUAGCCGAAAGCAACGCCGCCUGGUUAUAGUCUCAGCCCUGUAAGUUAUCGCUCAGCGUGGCCGUUUUGUUUUGGUCGCGGGGUUGUGACGCCAUCACGCCGCGCCGGAAUAGAUCACUAGUACCAGAGCGCGGUUUUUAAGCCUCAGAUCUUAGCGGUUGUUCCGGGGUCCGUGUGUUCGUCUGUGUGUCUGUGUGUCCGCGGACGUGUCCCGGGUCUUCGGGCCAGUCUGUUGGCCCAUCCCGCACCUCCGUCGCCGCCAUGCCGCCUGGGAAGCCGCUGCAGCCUCGGCUGCAGAUUAAGAUGUACCAGCUGUUCCUGUGCUGGAUCCGCGAUCCCAAUACACACCGCGCUCUGCCGGACCGGCUGCGGCGCAUCCAGGACGCGACCCCCGACCCUGCGACCUCUGACUCGAUCACCCGUGACCCCGUAAUACCCCACCCUGCGAGCCCCGACCCCAAGACCCUUGACCUCUCUAACCGUGAACCACUCGUGACUCCGAGUCUCCCGACCCCGCCACCCACGAUGCCGCAACACCCCACCACUCGACCUCUGACCCUGCCCACGCGCUGUCCCUUGGCGCCCCCGCCUGCGCCCGACCAGCACGAGGCCGGAGGAGGACGACGACGACAACAGGACCUAGAGAGGAUUCAGUGACUUAUGAUGAUGUGCAUGUGAACUUCACUAAAGAAGAGUGGGAUUUGCUGGAUCCUUCCCAGAUGAAUCUCUACAAAGACGUGAUGCUGGAGACCUACUGGAACCUCAUUGCUAUAGGCUACAAUUGGGAAGAUCAUCAUAUUGAAGAACAAUGUCAAAGUUCUAAAAGUCAUGAAAGGAAUGUAAGAAGUCAUAGUGGAGAGAAACCCUAUGAAUGUAAUAAGUGUGGUAAAGCCUUUGCAAGACCCAUUUAUCUCCAAAAUCAUAAAAGAACACAUACUGGAGAGAAAGCUUAUGAAUGUAAUCAAUGUGAUGAAGCCUUUGCAAGACCCAGUCAACUCCAAAGACAUAAAAGAAUGCAUACUGCGGAGAAACCCUAUGACUGUAAUCAGUGUGGUAAAGCCUUUGCAAGACCCAGUCAUCUCCAAUAUCAUAAAAGCACACAUACUGGAGAUAAACCUUAUGAAUGUAAUCAAUGUGGUAAAGCCUUCGUAUGGCACAGUCAUCUCCAAAUACAUAAAAGAACACAUAGUGGAGAAAAACCUUAUGAAUGUAUUCUAUGUGGUAAAGCCUUUGCAAUACCCAGUCAUCUCCAAAGACAUAAAAGCAUACAUACUGGAGAGAAACCUUAUGAAUGUAAUCAAUGUGGUAAAGCCUUUUCACAGGGGAGUCAUCUCCAAUAUCAUAAAAGAACACAUACCGGAGAGAAAGCUUAUGAAUGUAAUCAAUGUGGUAAAGCCUUUUCACAGGGGAGUCAUCUCCAAUAUCAGAACACAUACGGGAGAGAAAGCUUAUGAAUGUAAUCAAUGUGAUGAAGCCUUUGCAAGACCCAGUCAACUCCAAAGACAUAAAAGAAUGCAUACUGCGGAGAAACCCUAUGAAUGUAAUCAGUGUGGUAAAGCCUAUGCAGAAGAGAGAACACUCCAAUAUCAUAAAAGAAUACAUACUGGAGAGAAACCUUAUAAUCAAUGAGGUGAAGCCUUUGCAACACCCAGUCAUCUCCAGUGUUAUACAAUAACACAUAUUGGAGAGAAACCUUAUGAAUAUAAUCAAUGUGAUGAAGCCUUUGCAAGACCCAGUCAUCUCCAAAGACAUAAAAGAACACAUACUGGAGAGAAGCCUUAUGAAUGUAUUCAAUUUGAUAAAGUCUUUUCAUGGCACAGUACUCUCCAGUAUCAUAAAAGAGCACAUACUGGGGAGAAACCUUAGGGAUGGCAUUAAUGUGGUAAAGCCUGUUCACAAGGGAGAAGUCUCCAAAAAUAUAAAAGAACACAUACUGGAGAGAAACCCUAUGAAUGUAAUCUAUGUGAUAAAAGCCUUUGCACUAAGUUCUUGUCUCAAAAAUCAUAAAAUAACCGUUUUUUGUGUU